UACGGAGGGGGCUAGCGUUGUUCGGAAUUACUGGGCGUAAAGCGCACGUAGGCGGCUUUGUAAGUUAGAGGUGAAAGCCCGGGGCUCAACCUGGGAAUGGCAAUGGAUACUGGCAAGCUAGAGUGCGGUAGAGGGUAGUGGAAUUCCCGGUGUAGCGGUGAAAUGCGUAGAGAUCGGGAGGAACACCAGUGGCGAAGGCGGCUACCUGGACCAGCACUGACACUGAGGCACGAAAGCGUGGGGAGCAAACAGG
rnacentral:rRNA from 1 species